rnacentral:rRNA from 1 species
GAAUGAAGUAAUGAAUAGUAGCUAUAAUAAAAAAUAUUAUUUUAAUUUAAUGAACUGGUGAAAAUUCCAAUAUAUAGAAAAAAGACGAGAAGACCCUUAGAGUUUUUGAAAUAAAGAUUGUUUAAGACUUUAAUUAGAUCCUACUCUUAAAGAAAUUAUACAAYACACUUUUUUGUUGGGGCGACAAGAAAGCAAUAUAACCUUUCUAUUGACACUAAANGUGGUAUUAGAUCUGACGARUUUAUUAUGAAUGACUAAACUACCUGAGGGAUAACAGCAUAAUGAUUAAUAUUAGUUUGUGACCCUCGAUGUUGGACUAGGGACUUGUACCACCUAACC